rnacentral:tRNA from 1 species
GCCGGGGUGGCGGAACUGGCAGACGCAGGGGACUUAAAAUCCCCCGAUCCUAACAGAUCGUACCGGUUCGAUUCCGGUCCUCGGCACCA